rnacentral:rRNA from 1 species
AUUGAACGCUGGCGGCGUGCUUAACACAUGCAAGUCGAUCGGUAACGCGGGGGCAACCCUGGCGACGAGAGGCGGACGGGUGAGGAACGCUUGGGAAUCUGCCCUUCAGCGGGGGACAACCCGGGGAAACUCGGGCUAAUACCGCAUACGCUCCACGGAGGAAAGCCGGGGACCGCAAGGCCUGGCACUGAAGGAUGAGCCCAAGUCGGAGUAGCUAGUUGGCGGGGUAACGGCCCACCAAGGCGACGAUCCGUAGCUGGUCUGAGAGGACGAUCAGCCACACUGGGACUGAGACACGGCCCAGACUCCUACGGGAGGCAGCAGUGGGGAAUAUUGGACAAUGGGGGAAACCCUGAUCCAGCGACGCCGCGUGGGUGAAGAAGGCCUGCGGGUUGUAAAGCACUUUUGGCGAGAACGAAACGGCGCUGGUUAAUACCUGGCGCUAAUGACGGUACUCGCAGAAUAAGCACCGGCUAACUACGUGCCAGCCGCCGCCGUAAUAC